GGCUGUUUCAAAAGGAUGGCAAAAAUGAAUAUUUAUUAGGAUUGUUGGGACUCAUUUACUGGAUGACUUACUUUUGGAAUUUAAGAAGAGUGAAGACAGGAAGCAGAAGCAGAAAUUAAGAAAACGUCCUUGGCUUCAAUGGCAAUCGGGAGUUACUUCCCUGUGAAGUCUGUGGAAGACGCUUUGCAGCAGAUGUUCUGGUAAACAUAAAGACAUUUUGUAGAUGUGUUUCGUUGGAGUUAAAUGAACUGUCAAGUCAGUGAGGAGGCUGCAGCGGCAAAGAUUAAAGACAGAUGUGGAGGGAAAGCAAGGGAAGAGAGGUCCUUAACCUAUGGCUGGCAGGUCCGGAGGACACCGAGGCACAUAGAUGCCACCCCAUUCAAGAGGGAGCUUAAUUAAACAUGGUACUCUUAGAAAAAGGAUGCCAGAUGAAAGUGUUUUGGCACAGCUGAUUGUCUCUUGAGAGGUUUUGGCUCUUUUGCCUUUUCUAUAAGCAUCAAAAAUUCAAAUUUUAAGGCCAAAGCACCAGGGAAAUUAGCUAGUCAAGAGGAAUGAACGUUGAAUUUGGAGCAUCUGGAAACUUGGCUUUUAGCCUCAAAUUUGUCACUAAUUCUGACAAGUCCUUUAACCUCCCUCUGUUUCCUGCUUUGCCACGUAUAAAGACAGAACCUUUCAAUUUCAGGGAUUUUACGUAAUUUGAACAAAAUGGAUGUUAAGGCCUGUUCCAAGAUCUAAUUGUUAAUCAGAUUCAAAGUAACUACAUGUCAAGGCCCCUGAUUGAUGCCUAUAAAGUGGAAUAAAGGCUUAAUUUCAAAAUUAGGGAAUCAAACAGGUAUUAGAUUCCAAUGUUAUAAAGAGAUUCCCAAGAAAAAUGUUUAAAAAAAAAAACUUGAGGUGAUAAUGCAACUCCGAGUUUGAACAUUUUAGAUCAAGGAGAUGUAACCAAACUUAAAGGAUUUAAACUAUACACCUGACUGCAUUUGGGGUGAAAGACUGUACAAUGAGGUUAUAGGUUUUCUUUCUCUGGGGAAUUUUAAAAAUGAAAUAUCUGUUCUAGUUAACUAUAGCUAGAACUUCUGAAUUUAGCAGCAGGAGCUCCAGGGCCUAUUGUGGCCCAGGAAUCCACCGGUGUGUUCCUUUUGCCAAGCCAGGCCUGCACCCCGUAAGAACGAGUUUGAGACCUAGAAGGUACCAUCCAUUUGGGGAUCACUAAAUGUCAUCCCCAAUGUGUUGGGUCCUCUUGGGUUUUACUUCUAGGCCUAUCUCUAGGCUACAAAGAGCAUUUGAUCAAGUGAUAGCGAUCUCUCUCUAAUUUAAAAUGGCAUGGCUUGGGGCUCCUGGGUGGCUCAGUGGGUUGAGUGUCUGACUCUUGAUUUCGGCUCAGGUCAUGAUCUCGGUCCUGGGACGGAGCCCCACAUUGGGCUCUGCGCUCGGUGGGGAGUCUGCUGGAGAUUCUUUCUCUCCCUCUCCCCCUCCCCUCCUGUCUUUCUUUUUCUCUCCCUAAAAUAAAUAAAUAAAUCUUUAAAAAUAAAAUAAAAUGGUAUGGCUUGUUUGUAACAAGGUGCAGGGAUUUUUAUAGAGCCCUGUAUUUUGUUGGACGAAGGAACUGUGUGUUAGCUAUUAUGAGUUACAUAUCCACCAAGGAAGAGGACAUUUAGUUGGAAGUUGUUGGUGUAAUCCUAUAGUGAUGCUGUAACAGACUUUGUAAGGGUCGUACGCAGGCAGAGAGCUCUGUGUGUUGAUUCCCUGUCUUAUGUACUAGAAAUGCUGAGUACUUAAAGGAUUACUUGGCUGGAGUAAAGAAUGUUUUCCCUGCCGAUCGUCUGUUAAAUGUUAAAUAUUGUAACAUUGUAAAACUUAAUAUUAAAUGCUUAGAUUUGCUCUGAAAUAAAUGACUUCAUGGAUGUGAAAUGUUUGGAUAAAUUAAAGGAAAAUAUCUUCAUAAUGUAAAUGGAAUUGGUGUAUCCUUCAUUUAUUUGUAUGGUUGUCCCAGUUGUCUUUUGCAGAUGUUCUCAAAUAUUUCUUUGAAACCUCUCCACUUCUUGAGGCAGUUAAGUAGUUUAAUUUGCUGUAUGCAGAAAAGUGACCCCAUUAAAUUCAAUUUUGAAAUUGCUGAGUGGUAAGAAGAGUUUUCCUGAGAAGGUUCCACUGGUAGGAACUAAGUUUCCCCUUGCUGUAUGCAAAGGACUGUUUCAAAAGGAUGGCAAAACUAUUAGGAUUGUUGGGACUCAGAUUCUCUGGUAGGUUACUGGAUGACUUGCUCAUGGAAUUUGGGAAUCGUGGACACAGGAAACCAAACAGAAGACAUAAUCAGGAGAACUUCCUUGGCUUCAGAAAGGCAUGGACCAAUAUGUAGAAAACUCUUCAACAAAAAACGUAAACCUUUCAAUUCCUUGAAACAAAGAUUACAGGGCACUGACAUUCCCAUUGUGAGAAAGGCUCCUCAAUCCAAGCCUCAACCUGUGAGGAGAUCUAACUGGAGACAACAACAUGAAGACCUCAUUAAUGCCAUCCGAUCGGCAAAGCAGUGUACGCUAGCCAUUAAAGAAGGCCGACCUCUCCCACCUCCACCUCCUCCAUCCAUCAAUCCAGCUUUGCAUUUAGAUUAUAUUCAAUGCCCAUAUUGUAUGAGGAGGUUUAAUGAAGCUGCAGCCAACCGACAUAUUAAUUUCUGCAAGGAUCAGUCUUCUCACCGAGUCUUUGAUCCAGCCCAAACAGCAGCCAGGUUGGCAUCGAGAGUACAGGCUAGGGCUCAGAUGAGUCCAAAAAAAGAGCCACCUGUAACCAGUGCCGUGGGAGCCCUGCUGCAGAACAGGGCCCUGGCAGUGCCAAAUGUGGCCCCAACGAGGCCAGGAUUAGCUGUGGACCCUACUUCUGGAGCAAAACUCAGACAAGGAUUUGCUAAAUCUUCUAAAAAAGAUUAACUUCUAGAGGCCAGACCGUCUCCCUUUAACUUAUCAGCAUGGAUGGCUGUGUACCCAGGAAGCCACCUAAGGGGGAAGGAAAGGCGGACGGCUGUUUAUAAGCCCACGAUUCUUCUUGAGACAUAAUGGAGAACAAGUAAAAACCACAUUCACCUUUUCUUCUUCAUUACUCUCUUUAAAAUUUUCAAAACAAUAUUAAACAACGCAUCAACCUGUAUGUCAGUGGUUGACUUUUUGUUUUAAUUAGAGUUAAUAGGUUUUUAAAGAAAUGUUGCUUUGAUGUUAGAACCUUUUAGGAAAACAGUCUUUGGAGUUUUACUUACUAGCAUUACUUACUUAACUAGGAAAAUAGUGUUUUACCUAGCUUAACCUACAUAAUGUGAAAUCCCGUUUUUGAUAUUUGCUUCUAAUGAACUUUAAUCAGUAAGUGUUCCUAUUUUAAGUGUCAUCUGUAUACCAUGAGGAAUUGUCUCAGACCAGUGCACACAGCUUUUGGGGAAACACUGCCAUGGAGGAACAGUUACAGUAACUCUCCCCUCCUGUGGGAAGGUUGCUCUUAAGUGGACUCAGGUUAUUUCUUUAUCAUGGCUGAAUCAGAAGCCAGCUGGUUAGUCCACCACUGGUUUAUAUGGCUCUGUUCCUUUUCUUUGCCGUCCUCAGGGUGAAUAAACUCUCUUUGUAGAGUCCUUUAUACUUAUGCUUUUUCCAUUUAAGAACUUUUUUUUUUUCCUUGACCUCAAGGAAUUUCAAUUAGGAAUUAAGCCAUUUUUCCUGUCUAAAUUUAAGUAGGAGAAUUCCAACCUAUUCCACUUGUAAUGCCCCGAACACAACACCUGAAACUUUUAGGAUCUGUAUUUUGGGGAUCUAAUGCUGUUUUAUGCUCAGGGAAAUCAGGUAUGUGUCCUGGAAUGGACUGAAGACUACUAAGCCACAUAAAAGUAUUUGUGGAAGCUUCUGUGAAUGGAUCUUGGGAGAUUUCGCUAAGGUGAGCCAGUACUCUCCUCCUCAUGCUCUGGCAGAUCGCCUUCUCUCAGAGAGGUUAAACUGUACAUUAAGGCUCUACCAUGUCAGUUCCACAUACUACAGCCAAGCCCCGGGCCACUUGUCUGCUGCCCAUCACGGUCCUCGGCAUCACUGGUAAGAGCUGUGGGCCACGGUUUCUCACAUUGGCCAAUAGGCUUCUUUGAUGGGUAGAGGUACUCAAGGCUUCCUUCUCUCCACCCACCCCCACCCUCAUUAGAGGUGAAACAAAAACAGGCUUGUCAGAUUCAAGGGGUCAUAAUACUUUCUGAAGAAAUCCCAAUAAGGAAUAGGCAAAUUUCUAAUUUGUAUAAAAAAUUAAUGGUCAGGACCAUUAUAAAACUGGAACAUAGUAGCCCAGGGUAGACUAAACUCCAGUGGCCAGUACUCUGACAUACACAUCAGAAAUAAAUUACAUAAUAAAUAUUAUGGAAAGAUCCAAAUGUUCUAUCAGUUUUUAGAAAUGAAUUAAUAGCGCUAGGAACUUAAGCAUAUGAGCUUCCACCUGAAAUCCUAAUUUACUCAAAAAAAAAAAAAAAGGUAGUACCUAAUAGAUGCUGAAUAGAAGUCAGAAUAGUAGAUUCUGUGGGGGAAGUAAUGACCAGGAGGGGGCACGAGGGAGC